rnacentral:rRNA from 1 species
UACGUAGGGUGCGAGCGUUGUCCGGAAUUAUUGGGCGUAAAGAGCUCGUAGGCGGUUUGUCGCGUCUGCUGUGAAAAUCCGGGGCUCAACCCCGGACUUGCAGUGGGUACGGGCAGACUAGAGUGUGGUAGGGGAGACUGGAAUUCCUGGUGUAGCGGUGAAAUGCGCAGAUAUCAGGAGGAACACCGAUGGCGAAGGCAGGUCUCUGGGCCACUACUGACGCUGAG